UUGCACCAGCUGCCAAAGACCCAAACCACUCUCACUUCACUCAUUUACACAUUUCAACUUCUCUCUAAACUUCUCCCUAAACUAUCCUCUCUUAACUUAGAAAGCCCUUCUUCCUCCACUACCACCACUCUCAUCCAUUCCGGCGGCCGAACCACCACCAAACUCCGCCGCACCACCGCUCAUCCCAUUCCAUCUUCACUUUCGUGACCUACAUCUAUAGAAUACAAUCACGUUUUGAGCUCUCUCUCCAUCUAAAAAAUCUGUUGCAGCAAAUCACCACGGUCUCCAUCCUAUUUCGCCGUUCUCCGCCGUCGUGCAACCACAAAGGGACAUUCAGAAACCUUUAAAGACACUGAAUCUACCACCAAGGAGUUAUGGAGAAUUUUUUUAAAUGGGAGAUGAAUGGAUGAAUGAUUAUCUUGUGACUUAUAUUGAGAGAGAUGUGGCGGACAAGAUUGAUGAUGAGUUGAUUAUUCAACGAUUUCAUAACAUGCAACCGCGUAGGGCAUUUGUAAAGAAUGAAUGGAGUUUUUUGAGUAUAUUUUAAAUUGAAUACAAUGUAUUUUUUUGGAUAUAUAUAUAUAUAUAUAUAUAUAUAUAUAUAUUAUUAUUAUUAUAUUAUUAUAAGUUAAAGUUUAAAAUUUUGAACCUCCUGACCUGGGGUCCUGGAGAUGCCACUGGCUACCAUCAUUCUAUCUUUUAACUUCUCCAAUAAUUGAAGAAGAAUGUAUUCUUAAGAUCAUUCUGAAGGAACAUUAUACUUCAAAAUGGACUAUGAUCUUAAUAAUCCUCUUUAUUCCAAAGGGGCAUUGCUCUUAUGGCCAUUCUUAAUUUCGAAGGGACAUUGUAUUUAUUAUCUAAAAA